rnacentral:rRNA from 1 species
UAACGGCGUCGAGCGGCGGACGGGUGAGUAAUGCCUAGGAAAUUGCCCUGAUGUGGGGGAUAACCAUUGGAAACGAUGGCUAAUACCGCAUGAUGCCUACGGGCCAAAGAGGGGGACCUUCGGGCCUCUCGCGUCAGGAUAUGCCUAGGUGGGAUUAGCUAGUUGGUGAGGUAAGGGCUCACCAAGGCGACGAUCCCUAGCUGGUCUGAGAGGAUGAUCAGCCACACUGGAACUGAGACACGGUCCAGACUCCUACGGGAGGCAGCAGUGGGGAAUAUUGCACAAUGGGCGCAAGCCUGAUGCAGCCAUGCCGCGUGUGUGAAGAAGGCCUUCGGGUUGUAAAGCACUUUCAGUCGUGAGGAAGGUAGUGUAGUUAAUAGCUGCAUUAUUUGACGUUAGCGACAGAAGAAGCACCGGCUAACUCCGUGCCAGCAGCCGCGGUAAUACGG